UACAGAGGGUGCGAGCGUUUGUCCGGAAUCACUGGGCGUAAAGGGCGCGUAGGCGGCUCGGUCAGCGUGCCGGUGAAAGCCCGGGGCUCAACCCCGGGUCGGCCGUGCGAACUGCUGGGCUGGAGCACUGUAGAGGCAGGUGGAAUUCCGGGUGUAGCGGUGGAAUGCGUAGAGAUCCGGAAGAACACCGGUGGCGAAGGCGGCCUGCUGGGCAGUAGCUGACGCUGAUGCGCGACAGCGUGGG
rnacentral:rRNA from 1 species